CUAUUAUGGAGUUUCUGUCCACAGAGGAGAAACUGUUCAGCCUGGGGCCCAUCUAUCUCCUGCCUCAAUUCAUUUAAAUUUGAAGAGCACAU